CGGGACACGGGACCCCGUCCGCUGUCACCGCCUGCCCGGUGCGGACCGCUCUUCGGUGGGGACCCCCGGGCGAUUGGGACCCGCCGCCCGUCGGGGCGGGCUCGGAGCGCAGCAUGGACAGCGUGCAGCUGCAGGACUUCGCGGCGGGCUGGGUGGGCGGAGCUGCCAGCGUUGUUGUUGGUCACCCCCUGGACACCAUCAAGACUCGUUUGCAAGCUGGGCAAGGCUAUGGAAAUACACUCAGUUGUGUUCUCACUGUGUACAGAAAUGAGUCUGUGGUUGGCUUCUUCAAAGGCAUGUCCUUCCCUCUGGCCACCAUGGCUGUCUACAGCUCCGUGGUGUUCGGUGUCUUCAGCAACACGCAGCGGCUCCUCAGCCAGCUCCGGCACGGAGACCCGGAUAGCACACCGGUGCUCGCCGACGUGGCUCUGGCCAGCAUGGUGGCUGGGUUCAUCUCCGUGGGUAUCGGCACUCCUGUGGACCUGGUAAAGAUAAGGCUCCAGAUGCAAACGCAGCCGUACAUCCAAGCAAACAUGAAACUAAAGCCCACAGUUCCUGGAUUUCCUGUGUAUCGAGGUCCAAUUCACUGCAUCAAGACAGUCCUACAGAAAGAGGGGAUAGCAGGAAUAUACCGAGGCGCAGGAGCAAUGCUUUUGAGGGAUGUUCCUGGGUACUGCCUCUAUUUCAUCCCUUACACAAUCUUCUGUGGCUGGAUUACCCCUGAUGGAUGCAUUUCCCCUAAUCCCUCCUCCAUCUGGCUGGCAGGGGGAGUAGCAGGAGCCAUUUCCUGGGGGACUGCUACUCCAAUGGACGUUGUGAAAAGUCGGCUUCAGGCUGAUGGAGUUUAUUUGAGCAAGUACAAAGGGACCCUUGACUGCAUCUUGCAGAGCUACCAGAACGAGGGCUUAAAAGUCUUUUUUAGGGGCAUCACGGUCAAUGCAGUGCGAGGAUUCCCAAUGUGUUCAGCCAUGUUUCUUGGCUAUGAACUUUCCCUCAAAGCAAUGAAAAGAGACCAAACUGAGACCAAUCCUUAACUUCCAGGUCAGCACAUAAAGACCCUUUAGCUUGAUUAGAGAAUUCAUCUUUGAAUCAAAUGGACUUGCAAUUGUAUAGAUCCUCUGGAAGACAGUGUUGCUGGGAACACCUGGAAUCCUCCUACUGUCCUGAGCCAAACCAGCAGUGUGGUGUUGGAGAGGGAUCAGCUGCUCUGACCGAAGAUUCUCAUCCUGCACCGACAGCAUCUGCUUUCUCUUCUGCCAUGGA